UACAGGGGGUGCAAACGUUGCUCGGAAUCAUUGGGCGUAAAGCGCACGUAGGCGGUUCGUUAUGUCGGAUGUGAAAGCCCUUGGCUUAACCGAGGAAGUGCAUCCGAAACUGGCGAGCUAGAGUACGAAAGAGGAUAGCGGAAUUCCCGGUGUAGAGGUGAAAUUCGUAGAUAUCGGGAGGAACACCGGUGGCGAAGGCGGCGAUCUGGGUCGAUACUGACGCUGAGGUGCGAAAGCGUGGGGAGCAAACAGG
rnacentral:rRNA from 1 species